rnacentral:tRNA from 2 species
GCCGAUUUAGCUCAGAGGUAGAGCAACGUCUUGAUAAGGCGGAGGUCAGUGGUUCAAAUCCAUUAGUCGGUAUCA